CCUUCCAGUGCAUGUAUAAUAGAAUGACAUUUUUCAUGCAGAAAUAUAAAUUAAAUUAAUUGGCAUCCAUAUUUAAUUGAAAUUUCCUUGACAGUAGAUGGAUUCUCCCCUAACACCACCCCUUUCUCAGCAAGGGGCAUUUCCUUCUGAGUGCUUGCAGACUGAAGAGAGGCCAGCCCCCAUUCCUGGGGCUCCCCGAGGAGCUGGCUUUCAGCAGGGUUUAGAGCAGCACGAAAAGUGAACUGACCCUGGAAAAAUGAAAUAUGGUCUCACCAUGUUGCCCAGGCUGGUCUCGAAUUCUUGGGUUCAAGUGAUCCUCCUGCCUGGGCUUCCUGAAGUGCUGGAGUUACAGAUGUGAACUGCUGCACUCGGUCCACACCACAUUUUUAACAUCAACAGGUAAUCUUCUCAUCUGUGAGGAUAUGGAACCCCAACCUCUUCCUGGACACCUGAUGAUCUGCUUGUGAUGGGCUCAGAGUCUUGAAACACAGAACUAUGAGCUCAUCUCAUAUCCCAAUCCAGCAGCAUGGAAACCUCAGACUGCAAGGCCCAAGACUGGCACUUGUUCUCUCCCAACUCUUUUCUUUCUCUCUCUCCUUUCUUUUAUCCCUUAAUUCCUUCUUGCUUCCUUCCAAGAUUUAUACUAUUACCUUUUAGGCAAAACAUCCUGAACAUGUAAAAUAAACUAAUUAAAAUCAAGUCAAUUUCCCAACUGUUAUUUGUUAAGCCUAUGCAAGAUGUCAAAUUUUAGUCAUUUGCAUACCUAGUAUGCAAUUUUUUCUAUUCUGUGGGCCACGAGUAUUCUUUUCUCUAAGUCAACUAAUUCUUUAACUUAAACCCUGUUUAAGCUUCAUCCUGGCUGGGUGUGGUGGCUCACGCCUGUGAUCCUAGCACUUUGGGAGGCCAAGGCAGGUGGAUCACUUGAGCUCAGGAGUUUGACACCAGCCUAGCCAACAUGGUAAAACCUCGUCUUUACUAAAAACACAAAAAUCAGCCAAGCAUGGUGGCAUGCACCUG
rnacentral:lncRNA from 10 species